AAAGUCGUAACAAGGUUUCCGUAGGUGAACCUGCGGAAGGAUCAUUAAUGAAACUUCAAAGUCGGCUCGUUCUGUGCUGGUGAUUGUUCACAUGUGCACGUCGAGUCGCAAAUCCACACACCUGUGCAUCUUUGACUCGAGGUUAGUAAAAUGACCAAGAGUACUUUUACACACUCUGAAUGUAAUGGAAUGUCUAUGUGCAAUAAUGUACAAAUAAACAACUUUCAACAACGGAUCUCUUGGCUCUC
rnacentral:misc_RNA from 1 species